CAGCGCAGCAGAAUUCAGGGGGGAAAGCUGAAUGCAACCCCUGGUGCAGGAAGGGAGGCUUUUCCUGAGGACCGGGAGAGGAUUUUAAGUACAUAGAAGGAAGCUUCUGGAGAUCCUGCUCCGUCGCCCCAGUGUUCAGACUACCUGUUCAGGACAAUGCCGUUGUACAGUAGUCUGCACAUUGGUUUUGCACACUAGGGACCAAGAAGCCCUCGGGGACACUGCUGAGAAAAGACUGCCGAAGGGAAGACCAGCGGGAGAUAUACAAAUAUUUUAGGGAUCAUGGAAUCUAUUCCAGAGGAAACUAACCAACAGUGAGCAUCUUCAACUAAAACUACCCCUGGAUGUAAUAAGUGUUGCAUGCAUCAUUCCUUUAAUUGAGCAGAGUUAACUGGAUCAAAUUAUUUAUGGGAGAGAGAGGAAAAGUUAUAAAGAAUUAUAGUAAUUUUUAAUUUCCACCAAUAUACUCUUUGUAAGUGAAUCACUCUAUAAUUACUUUCUGUUGCACUGAAUGCAGCAACAAUAACACAAUAGUAUUUUAAGGCACUGGUUUUUGGCAUACUCUAACCUUGUAAUUAUUUAAAUAACAGCCAAGUUUACUCAUGUUUUUGAUUCUGUCAAGAAAAAAAAAAAGUUCCUUUACUCGAAAGUGAUGGCCGAAACAGAAUCGGAAAUUUGUUUUCUUGAAAUUACAUAAAUACACAGAAAAUGGCACUUAUUAGCUUUUGUUAAA
rnacentral:lncRNA from 1 species